rnacentral:rRNA from 1 species
AGAGUUUGAUCCUGGCUCAGGAUAAACGCUGGCGGCGUGCCUAACACAUGCAAGUCGAACGCCCUUACGCAAGUAAGGGAGUGGCGGACGGGUGAGGAACAUGUGGGUUAUCUGCCCUGGGGUGAGGAAUACCGGCGAGAAAUCGCCGACAAUACCGCAUAUGCUCGGUGACGAGCAAAGUCGCAAGACGCCACAGGAAG